rnacentral:tRNA from 1 species
GGAGAGGUGACAGAGCGGUUGAAUGUACCUGACUCGAAAUCAGGCGUAUGGAUUUUCUCCGUACCGUGGGUUCGAAUCCCACCCUCUCUA